GACGAAGGAUGCAAGCGUUAUCCGGAUCAUUGGGUUUAAAGGGAGCGUAGGUGGACCGAUAAGUCAGUGGUGAAAUCUCUGGGCUUAACUCAGAAAUUGCCAUUGAUACUGUUGGUCUUGAGUACAGUUGCUGUGGGCGGAAUAUGACAUGUAGUGGUGAAAUACAUAGAUAUGACAUAGAACACCAAUUGCGAAGGCAGCUGGCUACACAAAUAUUGACACUGAGGCACGAAAGCGUGGGGAUCAAACAGG
rnacentral:rRNA from 1 species